GGAUCUAUGAGGCUAGUGGGCCAAAUAAGACAGAGCUGAAAAAUCUUAUUCUUAAAUGAGCCAACAAAAUAGGCUCAACCCCACUUAAUUUAGGGGUUAGGUUGGGCAGGCUUAUAUAGUGGACAAAACCCAUUUUGAUAGUUGUACUUAUAUACACUCAGAAUGAGUUUUGAGAAAUUUGACAACGUUGAAACCGAGAAACCUUUAGUCAGUGAAAUAUUGAAGCAAAAAAUUGUGAUUUUCGAUUAUGGAUUAAGGAAUUUUCGUCUGGAAUUGAUAGGAAUUGGAAUAAUUGGAGGGAUGUUGAGGUUCAGGAGGUGGUGAAGGUAGCAAAGUAGUUGCCGGGGCUAUGGAUUCCGGUGAUUGGAAGACUAAACUUUUGCGUGAUUUGCGUCAAAGGAUUGGCAACAUUAUGAAAUAAAUUUGUCUUUUGGAGCAGGGUAACUGUUAUGUCGAAUUAUUUUUAAUAUAUUUGAGAAGCAUUUAUCUUGAUUGUGAUCUUAUCAAGACUUUGUUCUUGAUACGUGGAAAUGUCAGGUUGUUGCUGGAGCUAAUUGCAUUAUAACUACUAAUAUUUGUUUAGAGGAAACACGAUUUAGUCGUUUAUAGCAGAGGCAUAUCGAGUUAUUUUUAAUAUAUUUGAGUAGUAUUUAUCGAGAUAUGGUUGUAUAGAAUGGAGACCUUAAAGAGGCAUGUUCUGUCUCUCGGCGAGAAAGAGUACAUGAGCUUAAAGGAAAUUGUUGUGACGUUUGAAGAAAAGAUAUAUUAUGCUGCUAAAAGUCAGGUAUAUAGUCUAAACUUGUUUCUAUUUGUUCAUAUUGUAAAGUUACCUCAUGAGGGCGGGGGUAAUUUCCAAGACCUUAUAAGGAAGCCAUCCGUCUCUUUUUCAUCUGAUGUGGGACUCUUGAUGCAUUUGUUCUCUUUAAAACCACCCAUCCCUCUUUAUCCGAUGUGGGAUUCUUCAACAUGAAUGAUGCAAUUUAUUCUCCACUUCAUUGAUGUUAUUUCUGCUUUUAUAAACUUGCAUUCGUCUUCUCCACUUCAUUGAUGUUAUUUCUGCUUUUAUAAACUUGCAUUCGUCUUUUCCGUCAUCAAGACGCAUUGUAUUAGGGAUGGCGAGCGGAGCAGUACAGUGUGCUUGCGGGACAAACCUGCAAUGAUUUCAAUCUCCCGCCUGUAACAUUAUGUUUAUGUUGAAUUUCACACUUUUAAACAAACAUAUUAGUCACUAUUUUAGCACUUUUACCAAGACAUUGUUGUCAUAAAAAAAAUAGAUGCACUUAUAUUUACUCUCAUGAAUGUUCUUAUAGCAGGGAAAUGGAAGAGUGUGAUACUAUAUAUCAGUUCAUCUUAACUAUGAGAUCAGUAAAUUUUAUCAAUUUAUUAUUUAUUUCUGUAAAAUACCUCUUACGUGAUGAAAAGACCAAAAAACAGGGUUAAUUUUGUGUAUUGACAUAUUUUUCUCACAUAAAUAGUAUAGUAUCAUAUAAAUUAUAAUUCCCCAAAAGCACUCACUGUCAACACAAAAAUGGAAAUAGUUAAGUUAUAUAGAAUUAAAUUAAAUAAUGUCAUAUUUGAGUAACCAACAUAGAUUCACAAAUUCUAGUUUUAACACUAAUUUUUAAAAUUAACCACCACAUAAAAAUUAUUAGAUCUAAUUUAAAUAUCUUUCCACACCCAAGGAACCGCCACAAGGUAGGUUUAAGAUCUGUGCAUACUUUAUCCACCCUAGAUUUGAUAUGUUGUAGUUUGCACUUGCAUGCCUAAGGAAGUUUAGUAUUAAGAACUUAAUUUAUUUAUUUUAUUGUUUAAACUACUGUUGAGAGAUGUUUAACUUCAUGUGAAGGUCAGCGACUCUGCGUACACUCGACCCUCCGCAGACCCACUUGUGGGGUUACUUUUGCUAUGUUGUUGUUUAAGCCUGCUGCAUCAGUUUUGUAAGAAAAAAAAUUAAACCCACCCUGCAUAGGCUAACCCUGUUUGACAACACUAUGUUGUAUGUAUUUUAACUAACACUUAUCUAAUAUUGGAGCAAGAUUAUCUUGAACAGAUAUCUUCAAAGAUGUUGACCUUAGAUACAAGAUCUCGAAAUCUUAUUCAGCCAAAUCCUGCAAGUUGUUGAAUGAGGGUAUCAAAUGCAAAAAAUCAAUUCUCCAGUGUUGAUGAUGAAGAAUAGAACCUGUCAAAACCUCGAUUUGAAGUGUAUUGUGGACGAGACUGAUGAUUUGAUAAGAAAUGCUGAUUUUUGCUUUGCUCCUGCUACUUAGAACAAAUACAGUGGCCGAUCAUCUAGCUAAAUUAGCUACAAGCAAAGCCAAAUUUUUUCUAAGGUAAUUUAUAUAGCCUUUAGAUAUGUGGAAUGUAAAGCAAUGUCGUGCAUGUUGAAUCAUUCUCCUUCUGCCUGGAUUGCCUUGCGGUAAUCUCUGAUGUAUAUACAGUGCCACGAUAUGUAAUCUCUGAUGUAAUAUGAACAUUCUCGUUGUUUGCACUUG